GGGGCUGUAGCUCAACCGGGAGAGCACAAGUUUUGCAAACUUGAGGUCGCGAGUUCGACACUCGCCAGUUCCACCA
rnacentral:tRNA from 1 species